UACACCCUCAUGGGAUUCCAAGCCCAAGGAGUAGUAAUUAGUCCAAGUGAACAGUACUCACAUUUACUGAACACCACACUAGUUUUGAGUCUUCAAUUUU